rnacentral:rRNA from 1 species
UAGGGAAUCUUCCGCAAUGGACGAAAGUCUGACGGAGCAACGCCGCGUGAGUGAAGAAGGUUUUCGGAUCGUAAAACUCUGUUGUCGGAGAAGAACAAGUAGGAGAGUAACUGUUCCUACCUUGACGGUACCAGACCAGAAAGCCACGGCUAACUACGUGCCAGCAGCCGCGGUAAUACGUAGGUGGCAAGCGUUGUCCGGAUUUAUUGGGCGUAAAGCGAGCGCAGGUGGUUUCUUAAGUCUGAUGUGAAAGCCCACGGCUCAACCGUGGAAGGUCAUUGGAAACUGGGGAACUUGAGUGCAGGAGAGGAGAGUGGAAUUCCUAGUGUAGCGAUGAAAUGCGUAGAUAUUAGGAGGAACACCAGUUGCGAAGGCGGCUCUCUGGACUGUAACUGACACUGAGGCACGAAAGCGUGGGGAGCAAACAGG